UGCCGGCUAAAGUCGGAGGAAGGUGGGGAUGACGUCAAAUCAUCAUCGCCCCCUUUAUGACCGUGGGCUACACACGUGCUACAAUGGGCGGUACAAGGGUCGCGAACCCGCGAGGGGGAGCCAAUCCCAAAAAGCCGCUCUCAGUUCGGAUUGCAGGCUGCAACUCGCCUGCAUGAAGCCGGAAUCGCUAGUAAUCGCGGAUCAGCAUGCCGCGGUGAAUACGUUCCCGGGCCUU
rnacentral:rRNA from 1 species